UGGCUCUGGCAUCGAUGAAGAACGCAGCGAAAUGCGAUAAGUAAUGUGAAUUGCAGAAUUCAGUGAAUCAUCGAAUCUUUGAACGCACAUUGCGCCCGUUAGCAUUCUAGCGGGCAUGCCUGUUCGAGCGUCAUUUCAACCCUCAGGGCCCUUCCUUCACGGGGAGGGACCUGGCGUUGGGGAUCGGCCCGCCCCGUGCGGUGCCGUCCCUCAAAUACAGUGGCGGUCCCGCCGUAGCUUCCCUUGCGUAGUAGCAUAACCUCGCACUGGAGCUCGGCGCGGCCACGCCGUAAAACCCCCGACUUUCUGAACGUUGACCUCGGAUCAGGUAGGAAUACCCGCUGA
rnacentral:misc_RNA from 1 species